rnacentral:tRNA from 1 species
GGUGAAGUGGCCGAGUCUAGGCAAUAAAUUGUAAAUUUAUAAACGAAAAAAUUUUUCCUUCACCA